GAUGAAGAACGUAGCGAACGUGCGAAACGUAAUGUGAAUUGCAGAAUUCAGUGAAUCAUCGAAUCUUUGAACGCAUCUUGCGCUCCUUGGUAUUCCGAGGAGCAUGCCUGUUUGAGUGUCGUGAAUAUCUCUCAAUCUUAAACGUUUUUUUUUUUUUCGUUUUAAAUUGGACUUGGGCGUUGUCGUUUUUUUGGACGACUCGUCCCUAAAUACAUUAGCGAGCUGCCCCUGAUCACACACAAUGUGAUAAGUUUUUAAGCAUUGUCAUGGUUAGGUUUCGGUGAUGGCUUCUAACCGUCGUUAAGACAAACUCAUAUCAUGUCAUUUGACCUCAAAUCAGGUAGGACUACCCGCUGAACUUAAGCAUAUCAAUAAGCGGAGGA
rnacentral:misc_RNA from 1 species